rnacentral:piRNA from 1 species
UUGGUUUUUUAAGUAAAGAUA